CGGCUCGCCCCGCCCGGGGCUGCCGGGGCCCGGAGGCCCGGGCGGCGGGGGAGGGGCGGCCUCUGCGGCAGCUUGACCCCCGCUCCCCUUCUUCGCGGCCUGAUGAGUGGAUGGCGCUCCCUUGAGAAAAGUAAUUGGAUUCCCGGCUCCCUCCAGCCGGAAUCGGCGGAAAUCGGAGGCUGAGCCUGCAGGCCGCGGUAGAAAGCUGGGUGGUAAGGAAGGAUCAACGGAGAUUACCCCUGGUGCCCCAACCACCUGGCACGUGACUCCUGCCCCUCCAAGUUGUCAUCAUUACGAAAUUCACCUGGUUGCUGAUCUCCGGGAAGAGAAAUAAUUUGGAACGUUUGAGUCUUUCAGCCACCACCACCUCGUUUUUCUCUCAGAGCUCUACUUGGAGCAAAGAUGGAGAAAGAGCCCUGCCAAAUCUGGGAUCGGAGAUAACGCUCGUUAACCGGGUACCUCGGGAGAAAAUAACAUUCUCACCAGAGUCAUUCAGGAAGUUCUCUACUCAAGGCUAUGCAGGUGCUCCUGACUGGCCAAGGGCAGGUUAUGUACCUGAAUCCAGGCUGCAAAGUAUGGAUGAUUUCAUUUAUUUAUUUGACAGAGAGAGAGACAGCCAGC